rnacentral:rRNA from 1 species
AGUGAACGCUGGCGGUAGGCCUAACACAUGCAAGUCGAACGGCAGCACAGUAAGAGCUUGCUCUUACGGUUGGCGAGUGGCGGACGGGUGAGGAAUACAUCGGAAUCUACUUUUUCGUGGGGGAUAACGUAGGGAAACUUACGCUAAUACCGCAUACGACCUACGGGUGAAAGUAGGGGAUCUUCGGACCUUGCGCGAUUGAAUGAGCCGAUGUCGGAUUAGCUAGUUGGCGGGGUAAAGGCCCACCAAGGCGACGAUCCGUAGCUGGUCUGAGAGGAUGAUCAGCCACACUGGAACUGAGACACGGUCCAGACUCCUACGGGAGGCAGCAGUGGGGAAUAUUGGACAAUGGGCGCAAGCCUGAUCCAGCCAUACCGCGUGGGUGAAGAAGGCCUUCGGGUUGUAAAGCCCUUUUGUUGGGAAAGAAAAGCAGCAGGUUAAUACCCCGCUGUUCUGACGGUACCCAAAGAAUAAGCACCGGCUAACUUCGUG